rnacentral:rRNA from 1 species
CAGUCGCCACGGUAAUACGAAGGGGGCUAGCGUUGUUCGGAAUUACUGGGCGUAAAGCGCGUGUAGGCGGGUCCUUAAGUCAGGGGUGAAAUGCCAAGGCUCAACCUUGGAACUGCCUUUGAUACUGGGGAUCUUGAGUCCGGGAGAGGUGAGUGGAACUGCGAGUGUAGAGGUGAAAUUCGUAGAUAUUCGCAAGAACACCAGUGGCGAAGGCGGCUCACUGGCCCGGAACUGACGCUGAGACGCGAAAGCGUGAGGAGCAAACAGGAUUAGAUACCCGCGUAGUCCCUGUCUCUUAUAC